ACUCCUACGGGAGGCAGCAGUGGGGAAUAUUGCACAAUGGGCGAAAGCCUGAUGCAGCCAUGCCGCGUGUAUGAAGAAGGCCUUCGGGUUGUAAAUCUCUUUCUCUAGUGAGGAAGGGUAUGUAGUUAAUAGCUGCAUAUCUUGACGUUAGCGACAGAAGAAGCCACCGGCUAACUAUGUGCCAGCAGCCGCGGUAAUAC
rnacentral:rRNA from 1 species